rnacentral:rRNA from 1 species
CCUACGGGAGGCAGCAGUAGGGAAUCUUUCACAAUGGGCGAAAGCCUGAUGGAGCAACGCCGCGUGCAGGAUGAAGGCCUUCGGGUUGUAAACUGCUUUUAUAAGCGAGAAAUAUGAUGGUAACUUAUGAAUAAGGAUCGGCUAACUACGUGCCAGCAGCCGCGGUCAUACGUAGGAUCCGAGCAUUAUCCGGAGUGACUGGGUGUAAAGAGUUGCGUAGGUGGCAUAAUAAGUAGCUAGUGAAAUCUGGUGGCUCAACCAUUCAGACUAUUAGCUAAACUGUUAAGCUCGAGACCGUUAGGGGUAACUGGAAUUUCUAGUGUAGGAGUGAAAUCCGUAGAUAUUAGAAGGAACACCAAUAGCGUAGGCAGGUUGCUGGGACGGUUCUGACACUAAGGCACGAAAGCGUAGGGAGCAAACGGAAUUAGAUACCCCAGUAGUC